UCGGGAAUUUUGGGCAAUGGGGGAAACCCUGACCCAGCAACGCCGCGUGAAGGAUGAAGUAUUUCGGUAUGUAAACUUCGAAAGAAUAGGAAGAAUAAAUGACGGUACUAUUUAUAAGGUCCGGCUAACUACGUGCCAGCAGCCGCGGUAAUACGUAGGGACCAAGCGUUGUUCGGAUUUACUGGGCGUAAAGGGCGCGUAGGCGGCAUGACAAGUCACUUGUGAAAUCUCUGGGCUUAACCCAGAACGGCCAAGUGAUACUGUCGCGCUAGAGUGCAGAAGGGGCAAUCGGAAUUCUUGGUGUAGCGGUGAAAUGCGUAGAUAUCAAGAGGAACACCUGAGGUGAAGACGGGGUUGCUGGGCUGACACUGACGCUGAGGCGCGAAAGCCAGGGGGAG
rnacentral:rRNA from 1 species